CACGGAGUUAGCCGGGGCUUCUUCUGCUGGUACCGUCAUUAUCUUCCCAGCUGAAAGAUCUUUACAACCCUAAGGCCUUCAUCGAUCACGCGGCAUGGCUAGAUCAGGCUUGCGCCCAUUGUCUAAGAUUCCCCACUGCUGCCUCCCGUAGGAGUCUGGGCCGUGUCUCAGUCCCAGUGUGGCUGAUCAUCCUCUCAAACCAGCUAUGGAUCGUCGGCUUGGUAGGCCAUUACCCCACCAACUACCUAAUCCAACGCGGGCCAAUCCUUUGGCGAUAAAUCUUUCCCCCGAAGGGCACAUACGGUAUUACUCCCAGUUUCCCGAGGCUAUUCCGUACCAAAGGGUAUGUUCCCACGCGUUACUCACCCGUCCGCCGCUAAGUCCGAAGACUUCGCUCGACUUGCAUGUGUUAGGCCUGCCGCCAGCGUUCGUUCUGAGCCAGGAUCAAACUCU
rnacentral:rRNA from 1 species